AAUUCUCAACCUAUCUUGUUUUCUAACUGGUUAGGCUUGGAUCAUGGAAGUUGCUGGCUCAAUUAGAAUCAGCUCUUCUCAAAUGUAUUAGCAGAGACUUUUGCUGACCAUCAUUGGUAUGAUAAUUAUCUAUAUCAUUGGUAACCAGUUCCCUUUCAUAGGGAAGUCUUGCUUCUAAUAGUCGUUUCGACAACUUGACAC
rnacentral:misc_RNA from 1 species